UACGUAGGGUGCAAGCGUUAAUCGGAAUUACUGGGCGUAAAGCGUGCGCAGGCGGUCCGUUAAGACAGAUGUGAAAUCCCCGGGCUCAACCUGGGAACUGCAUUUGUGACUGCACGGCUCGAGUGCGGCAGAGGGGGAUGGAAUUCCGCGUGUAGCAGUGAAAUGCGUAGAUAUGCGGAGGAACACCGAUGGCGAAGGCAAUCCCCUGGGCCUGCACUGACGCUCAUGCACGAAAGCGUGGGGAGCAAACAGG
rnacentral:rRNA from 1 species